rnacentral:rRNA from 1 species
UACGAAGGGGGCUAGCGUUGCUCGGAAUCACUGGGCGUAAAGGGUGCGUAGGCGGGUCUUUAAGUCAGGGGUGAAAUCCUGGAGCUCAACUCCAGAACUGCCUUUGAUACUGAGGAUCUUGAGUCCGGGAGAGGUGAGUGGAACUGCGAGUGUAGAGGUGAAAUUCGUAGAUAUUCGCAAGAACACCAGUGGCAAAGGCGGCUCACUGGCCCGGUACUGACGCUGAGGUGCGAAAGCGUGGGGAGCAAACAGG